CCUACGGGCGGCUGCAGUGGGGAAUAUUGGACAAUGGGCGAAAGCCUGAUCCAGCCAUGCCGCGUGUGUGAAGAAGGCCUUCGGGUUGUAAAGCACUUUCAGUGGGGAAGAAAGCCUUGGGGCUAAUACCCUCGAGGAAGGACAUCACCCACAGAAGAAGCACCGGCUAACUCCGUGCCAGCAGCCGCGGUAAUACGGAGGGUGCGAGCGUUAAUCGGAAUUAUUGGGCGUAAAGCGCGCGUAGGCGGUCUGAUAAGCCGGUUGUGAAAGCCCCGGGCUCAACCUGGGAACGGCAUCCGGAACUGUCAGGCUAGAGUGCAGGAGAGGAAGGUAGAAUUCCCGGUGUAGCGGUGAAAUGCGUAGAGAUCGGGAGGAAUACCAGUGGCGAAGGCGGCCUUCUGGACUGACACUGACGCUGAGGUGCGAAAGCGUGGGUAGCAAACAGGAUUAGAUACCCUUGUAGUC
rnacentral:rRNA from 1 species